rnacentral:lncRNA from 1 species
AUGACCUCCGGGGGAAUGGAGCCCUGCAACCAUUGUGUCCGUUCAGGUCUCUCAAGAAGGAGCCACCAAGCUGGGACUGUCUGUGCAGAGCCACUGGGGGGGGGGGCAGCUGUGAGUGAGCAAGGAGGCAGCGGGCAGGGAGAGCCAUCAGCCCCUGCUGCAGCUCUGACACCCGGGAAGGGAGAAGGGAAGGAAGGGAGGUUGGGUGGGAAGGGUCUCAGGCUGCAGUGCAUUCUAGGGAAGUCUGGGGCAGGCCCCAGAGAGUCCUGGAGCCGCAGCUGCUGUGAGAGGAUUCCUGCACCCCAUUGGAAGGGUCCUGCGCAGGCUCCCCUGCACGCUCUGUCCUUGGAGGGAGCAGCCUGGGGGUCUGUGAUCUCAGCACAAAUGCGGUGUGGAUUCAGCUCGCGCCACAGUCAGCCCUGCUGCCCCCACGGACCCGAAGCGCGCAUGUCCUUGGACUGGACGGUCCACCCCAGCACCGCGGGGUCUGCUCCCUGCUCCGCUGGCCCCUCUUCCUCAGGGAGGUACCCCUGUUGCCCCAGUACAUCUCAGGGCCACAACUGGUACUCCUCUCUCCGCACCCCCUCUAGCGUCCCCUCGCUCAGCUGCCACCUCAGCACGUCUUGGCGGCUUACCCAGGGCUACGACCCAAAUCCUCAUUCCCGAGGGGGUCUGAGCCCCAGACCGUCAUACCCUCCUCAGCCAGGGCUACUGCACAUGCCGUUCGCCACUAAAGGAGAAGACGCGCCAGUGGUCACCUGUGCCCUACACACAUCCCUCCUCCCCUCCCCGCUGUGUGACAGCAGACCCACCCGCUCCUGCCAAUCAGAGCAGCUCCACCAAGAAGGGCUCCUUCGUGGCACUGAUGGUCGGGGGGCACUCCUGUCUUCCCCUGGGUCCCUGGACCUAUAUAUUUUCCUGCUGGGGACACAGCACCCUAGAGGGGCCUUUCCAGGUCCUGCCACCGAGUUAGCACGUCUGCUGGCAUUUAGACGGGCUGCCGUUUGA